GACAGUGUGGUAUAGUGGUUUGAGUGUUGGGCUUGGACCUGAGAGACUGGGGUUCGAAUCCCUGCUCAGGCC